rnacentral:rRNA from 1 species
CAGAGGUCCCGAGCGUUGUUCGGAUUCACUGGGCGUAAAGGGUGCGUAGGUGGUUGGGCAAGUCUGAUGUGAAAUCUCCGGGCUUAACCCGGAAAUGGCAUUGGGAACUGCCUGGCUAGAGUGUUGGAGGGGGGACUGGAAUUCUCGGUGUAGCAGUGAAAUGCGUAGAUAUCGAGAGGAACACCAGUGGCGAAGGCGAGUCCCUGGACAACGACUGACACUGAGGCACGAAAGCUAGGGGAGCAAACAGGAUUAGAUACCCUGGUAGUCCUAGCCGUAAACGGUGCUUGCUUGCUGUAAAAGGAAUCGACCCCUUUUGUGGCGAAGCCAACGCGAUAAGCAAGCCGCCUGGGAAGUACGGUCGCAAGAUUA